rnacentral:lncRNA from 1 species
GGCCUAGAGCUGGAGUUACAGAUGAUAUAUAAAAAGCAACUGCGUGAACUUGAGGGAGGUGCAUACAUGGAAGAGGUUGGAGGGAGGAGAGGAUAGAAGAGGUGGUAUAGUUACCUUAUGAUUCCAAAAACUAAAAAAGAAAAAAAAAUUAUAAAAAAAAAAGUGAAAAAAGCUUUGCCUUGGUCUGGCAUGGUACAGUCAGUGUUCUGUGAAUGUAUGUGCUUGCUGGUGGUUACAUUUAUAGCAAAACAACUGAGAAUGUGCAAAAGAAGUCUGAGAAGUGCCAAGUGGUGGCCUCCAGCCCCCAGCAGAACAUUCUGGGGUGGGAAGAGCCUCCGAUAAGUUAGCGUCCUUCCCGGCCCUCGUUUCUUAGCUCUGGUUUAAAUUUGGAAUGUUUUAUGGAUGUGAGUGUUUGGCCUGGAUGUGUGUCUGAGCACCACAUGCGUACCCAGUGUCAUCAGAAGCCAGAAUAGGGAACUGGAUCCCCUGGUACUGGAGAAACUGGAGUUACUAUGAGCUGUCUAUUGUGGGUGCUGGGAAUUGCAUUCAGGUCCUGUAUAAGAGCAACUAGUGCUCUUAGCUGCUGAGCCAUCUCUCCAGCCACUUUUGUUAUAUUUUAAAAGGAAACUUGAGAGAUGGAGCUAAGAAUUUCAGGGCAAACAAAGCUUCUGGGGAGGGCAUCUUUAAUUUUUUUCUUGUAAUUUAUUUAUUUAGUUUUUGGGUUUGAAUUCUAGAUUUUUUUUUUGAUACACUCUGACACUUGUGGUUUCCUGGUGCUUGUUGUCAUAUUAAAGGUAAGUCCUAAAAAGAAAUCCUAGGGUCUGGAGAGGUGUCUCAUCGGUCAAGAGCACUGACUGCUCUUCCAGAGGUCCUGAGUUCCAUUCCUAGCAACCACAUGGCGACUCACAACCAUCUGUAAUGGAGAUCCAAUCCAAUGCCCUCUUCUGAUGUGUUUGAAGACAGUGAUAAUGUACUCAUAUACGUAAAAUAACAAUAAAUCUUAAACAACAACAACAAAGCCUAGACCUACUGGACUUUGUGAAGUCCAGUAUUAGCUAAACAUUUAUUCUGUAUGUGUGUAUUGUGUGGGGGUAGAAUUCUUCUACCAACCAAAGCAUUGUGUAGCAUCUUGGUGACCCCAGGGUGCCAUGGAACAUAGCCAAGGCUAUGCAGAGCAAGCCCCUCUGUAUGUGCUCCAUGAUCACACUUUCCUGUGCUUGGGAGGUGUCCUGCUAAUGGCAGUUCAAAGGGACCUGGAUUUCUUGAAGUAUUAAAACUCACACACCUCAUCAAAGGAUUUCCAGAGAUCACUCUUAAAACCGGCAGGCAAGGCACACAGAGCCGUUUCUGGAUGGUCUUCUUUCCCUGGGGGCUCACGCUGGCCAACCUGCCUCCGUGGAGUUUCUGUAUGUGUGGCGUCUAAAAACCUCUGAAAAUCGUUAUUCACAGCUCAUUCAGCACACGAAGAACCAUCUCGCUCCAUCCCACGUCUAUGUGAGUCACUUUUUAAAGUGCUUUUAAAAAAAAAACUGUCUCAUGCACAUAGAUAAUUAGAGAGGGGGGAAAAACAAGUAAAAAUAAAUCGUGUUGUUGAAUUUAAAAGCCCAAAUGAAUCUUAAAUACCAAAUACAUAUGUUUCUCACUUUCUUGGCUCACCAAGAACUGGCCACCUUUGCUCUAAUCCUACUCCAAGCAUGGGUGGUGGCAGUUUCCCUCAACCAUAAGUGGUUGAUUUAGGAAGAGCAUGCCAAAAAUAAAGAUAAUCUCGUAUUCAAUUUCCCAAAUUGCUCAAUGUAAAUAAAGCCCAGAGAGGCCUGCAGUAGGCCGAUGUUGCAGGUUACCAGCCCAGUGUAUGUCUCUUUCUAGGCUAAUAACUUGUCAUCUCGGACAAUGAUGUCCCAGUUUAUAUGGUUCUCCUUGAAGACUGUCACCCCCCCAGAAAUGGGAUGCCUAAAGUUAUUUGUUAUUUUUGAGUGCAUUUACUGAUUGGUAUUUAUAUUGGAAUGGGAAACUUAUUAUUGCCUAUUAUUUCAUCAUUAAAUUUAAUGUAUGAAAUGUGUGAUUUUAUAGCUAUCCAUUACCACGUUAAUUUAAUGCAAUGCAAAUUGAUUGUUCAGCAAGCGUGGCAUGCGUGUAAGCAUACAUUUCAAAUUUUAAAAUGCUAAGUUCAGUUUAGCUCUGUUUUGAGGGGUGGUCCUUUUAUCUGUUUCAAUGUAAGAUCAUGUGUCUGGUCUGAGCCCCACUAUCACUAGGUACCCAUUGCCUGUUCUACUGUCCCUCAGUUUACCUGUCCCCCACUGUUCCAAUGGGCCUGAUCUCUGCUUUCCUGGUCUCUUUAAAAGAAGCUUUAGGAAUUAAAUGUCUAGCUGCAUGGUUUUACGAUUUGCUGAUCUCUCUCUCUCUCUCUCUCUCUCUCUCUCUCUCUCUAUCUGUGUGUGUGUGUGUGUCUGUCUGUCUGUCUGUCUGUCUGUCUGACUGUAUGAGCGUGUCUGUGUGUGUCUGUAUGUAUGUGUGUCUCUGUAUGCCUGUCUGUAUGUAUGUCCAUGUGUAUGUCUGUCUGUAUGUGUGUGUCUGUGUGUGUGUGUGUGUGAUUUAAGGAGGCAGUACAAGUCUCUGACAUUGCAAUUUUGAGAAUAGCAUCCAAGCAUGAGAAAACUCUCUCUCACACUUGGGUAUUAUUCUCACCCUUUGGGGAACAAGAUAGGCUUCAUCAGUAGGCUGUGUCUGCACUUGCUGUAAGUGGAAAAUAUCAUACUAUUUCUACAGAGUUAUGAUAGAAACUGGUAACAGUAAAAACAUUUUUUGUUAAAGCAAACAUUUAACAGGAACAUUUGGUAAAAACAAAACAAUAUC